AUGAUUUUAUGCCACAAGAAUGGACAAAGAUGGCUUACGGAUACCAAGUCCCAAGCACUGCAAUAUUUAGUACUCUUAGAACAGGGUGUUUCUCUACGAAAUUUCUCAUUAGGUACAUUAGCUCUCAUCACAAACCCACCACCAAUGAUCACAUCUGGUAUCAGUAGCUCAUAUGUAUAUAUAGUGCAUGAGUUGCUCAAUUGGUGACAAUUACCAUCCCAAGCAAAAAACAGCAUCAGAAUUCCUCCAACAGACAGUUUAUGUCAAACUUAGAUAUACAUCACACACUACUCCUCCAGAAAUGAUAAAGCAAACAAGAUUUGUCAUAUUAUAGGCAAGGAAUGACAGUCAAAUUAAAAUGUCCAGCAAAAACUAAGGCAGUAACUGAAUGAGAAGCAAUGCCUACACCAAAUGAGUUAACAAGUAUUGUUCACCUUGUAAUAGAAGCCUUUUGAGGAAGACUACCCAGGCUCCUUUGUCCUCGGUCACCGAUUUGUCAUUACUCAUGAAAUCCCUACUCAAUAUAACAGACAUGUUAACUAUCCCUCAUAACAGUGAUGUUAAAGUCAGUCCAACACACGAGGACCACAUGUGAGAGACCUGUCAUUGGUUUCAUUUUUUUAGUUUUGUUUUGUUCCCUUAACGUAAAGAGUUCCUUCGGUGACUGGUAUUGUUGACGGUGCAGCUCCAAGAGAACAACCACUCAAAAUCAAUGUUCAUGCAGGUUUAAAUAAAAACUGAUCAAAGAGAGGAGAGAUGGGGUGAGCCAAACCAAGACUGGUUGAGGGAGGGAUUUAAAAC